rnacentral:rRNA from 1 species
AAUGAACGUUGGCGGCGUGGAUUAGGCAUGCAAGUCGCGCGACAAGGAACCUUCGGGUUCUGGAGGAGCGGCAAACGGGGUAGUAAGGCAUCGGAACGUACCCUCUUGUUGGGAAUAGCCGCGGGAAACUGCGAGUAAUGCCCAAUAAUCCCUACGGGGCAAAGGUCCGCCGCAGGAGGAGCGGCCGAUGUGAUACCAGCUAGUUGGUGAGGUAAUGGCUCACCAAGGCUUAGACGUCUAGGGGGUGUGAGAGCAUGGCCCCCACCACUGGGACGUGAGAUACUGCCCACGACACCUACGGGUGGGCUGCAGUCGAGAAUCUUCGGC